GUUGAACGCUGGCGGGGGGCCUAACACAUGCAAGUCGACCGACGGCACAGUAAGUUUUUUCUCUUACGGUUGGCGCGGGCCGGGGGGGUAACCGAUGCAUACCAAACUACUAGUCCUGGGUUAAUUACGGAAACCGGCGUAAACUACGGCCAAAUAUUUCAAACGGCUGGAUCCAAAGGUAAAGCAGGUCUUGCUCGAUCUUAUUAGUCGAUCCCGGCUUAAUUAGUUAGUUGGUAAGGUAACGGCCUACCAAGGCAACGAUUCAUAGCCGGCCUGAGAGGAUGAUCAGCCACACUGGAACUGAGACACGGUCCAGACUCCUACGGGAGGCAGCAGUAGGGAAUCUUCCGCAAUGGGCGAAAGCCUGACGGAGCAACGCCGCGUGAGUGAUGAAGGUCUUCGGAUCGUAAAACUCUGUUAUUAGGGAAGAACAUAUGUGUAAGUAACUGUGCACAUCUUGACGGUACCUAAUCAGAAAGCCACGGCUAACUACGUG
rnacentral:rRNA from 1 species